rnacentral:lncRNA from 1 species
AAACAACACAAGCCUCCUCCCCCUCCCCCUGCUGUCUAUUAAUUAUAAUUUCCUCAGCGUUUAUCUUCGGUUCCCUUCGAUAACUAGAUGAGAAGAAGAGAUACCAUGGUAUGUUAGUCCCAUCGCCGUCCACAGCCGGCAAUGUUCAAGGAGUAAUAGAUUCAUAGAAGAAGAAGAAAUACAUGUAUCUCACUUACAUGUAAUCAAUCUUCUAGCAUAUGAAUUGCAAAUGUUCUCCCUCUCUGUUCAUUAUAUGACGAUGAGAUGAGAAGUGAUAUCUGAAAAAAAUCGUAUUUUGAUUUCAAUCUAAUCCAUGUUUCCGGGGCUCCGAUGGUCACCGGAAG